rnacentral:rRNA from 1 species
AGGACGAACGCUGGCGGCGUGCCUAAUACAUGCAAGUCGAACGGUCUUUUCUAUGGAAGCUUGCUUCCACUGAGAAGAUAGUGGCGAACGGGUGAGUAACACGUGGGUAACCUGCCCAUAAGAGGGGGGAUAACAUCCGGAAACGGGUGCUAAUACCGCAUAGUUUUCUUGAUCGCAUGAUCGGGAAAGGAAAGACGGCCUUUGUGCUGUCGCUUAUGGAUGGACCCGCGGCGUAUUAGUUAGUUGGUGAGGUAACGGCUCACCAAGACGAUGGUACGUAGCCGACCUGAGAGGGUGAUCGGCCACAUUGGGACUGAGACACGGCCCAAACUCCUACGGGAGGCAGCAGUAGGGAAUCUUCCGCAAUGGACGAAAGUCUGACGGAGCAACGCCGCGUGAGUGAAAGAAGGUUUUCGGAUCGUAAAACUCUGUUGUCAGAGAAGAACAAGUUGGAGAGUAACUGCUCCAGCCUUGACGGUAUCUGACCAGAAAGCCACGGCUAACUACGUGCCAGCCGCCGC